AUUGAACGCUGGCGGCAGGCCUAACACAUGCAAGUCGAGCGGGAACUUCGGUUCUAGCGGCGGACGGGUGAGUAAUGCGUAGGAAGCUACCCGAUAGAGGGGGAUACCAGUUGGAAACGACUGUUAAUACCGCAUAAUGUCUACGGACCAAAGUGUGGGACCUUCGGGCCACAUGCUAUCGGAUGCGCCUACGUGGGAUUAGCUAGUUGGUGAGGUAAUGGCUCACCAAGGCGACGAUCCCUAGCUGGUUUGAGAGGGUGAUCAGCCACACUGGAACUGAGACACGGUCCAGACUCCUACGGGAGGCAGCAGUGGGGAAUAUUGGACAAUGGGCGAAAGCCUGAUCCAGCCAUGCCGCGUGUGUGAAGAAGGCCUUCGGGUUGUAAAGCACUUUCAGCGAGGAGGAAGGGGUUGUAGUUAAUAGCUGCAACCUUUGACGUUACUCGCAGAAGAAGCACCGGCUAACUCUGUGCCAGCAGCCGCAGUAAUAC
rnacentral:rRNA from 1 species